rnacentral:rRNA from 1 species
CCUACGGGAGGCAGCAGUGAGGAAUAUUGGUCAAUGGACGAGAGUCUGAACCAGCCAAGUAGCGUGAAGGAUGACUGCCCUAUGGGUUGUAAACUUCUUUUAUAUGGGAAUAAAACGUUCCACGUGUGGGAUUUUGUAUGUACCAUAUGAAUAAGGAUCGGCUAACUCCGUGCCAGCAGCCGCGGUAAUACGGAGGAUCCGAGCGUUAUCCGGAUUUAUUGGGUUUAAAGGGAGCGUAGGUGGAUUGUUAAGUCAGUUGUGAAAGUUUGCGGCUCAACCGUAAAAUUGCAGUUGAAACUGGCAGUCUUGAGUACAGUAGAGGUGGGCGGAAUUCGUGGUGUAGCGGUGAAAUGCUUAGAUAUCACGAAGAACUCCGAUCGCGAAGGCAGUUCACUGGACUGCAACUGACACUGAGGCUCGAAAGUGUGGGUAUCAAACAGGAUUAGAUACCCGAGUAGUC